rnacentral:rRNA from 1 species
UACGAAGGGUGCUAGCGUUGUUCGGAAUCACUGGGCGUAAAGCGCGCGUAGGCGGCGUUGCAAGUCAGAGGUGAAAGCCUGGAGCUCAACUCCAGAAUUGCCUUUGAAACUGCAAUGCUAGAGUGUCGGAGGGGAUAGCGGAAUUCCUAAUGUAGAGGUGAAAUUCGUAGAUAUUAGGAGGAACACCGGUGGCGAAGGCGGCUAUCUGGACGACAACUGACGCUGAGGCGCGAAAGCGCGGGGAUCAAACAGG